UACGUAGGGUGCAAGCGUUGUCCGGAAUUAUUGGGCGUAAAGAGCUCGUAGGCGGUUUGUCGCGUCUGCUGUGAAAACUCGGGGCUUAACUCCGGGCCUGCAGUGGGUACGGGCAGACUAGAGUGCGGUAGGGGAGACUGGAAUUCCUGGUGUAGCGGUGAAAUGCGCAGAUAUCAGGAGGAACACCGGUGGCGAAGGCGGGUCUCUGGGCCGUAACUGACGCUGAGGGCAAGCGAAUGG
rnacentral:rRNA from 1 species